UACCAGCACCCCGAGUGGUCGGGACGUUUAUUGGGCCUAAAGCAUCCGUAGCCGGUUCUACAAGUCUUCCGUUAAAUCCAACUGCUUAACAGGUGGGCUGCGGAAGAUACUAUAGAGCUAGGAGGCGGGAGAGGCAAGCGGUACUCGAUGGGUAGGGGUAAAAUCCGUUGAUCCAUUGAAGACCACCAGUGGCGAAGGCGGCUUGCCAGAACGCGCUCGACGGUGAGGGAUGAAAGCUGGGGAGCA
rnacentral:rRNA from 1 species